GUAGUUAGCCGGGGCUUUCUAAUGGGGUACCGUCACUUCCUUCGUCCCCCACAACAGAGGUUUACAAUCCGAAAACCUUCUUCCUUCACGCGGCGUUGCUGGGUCAGGCUUUCGCCCAUUGCCCAAUAUUCCCCACUGCUGCCUCCCGUAGGAGUCUGGGCCGUGUCUCAGUUCCAGUGUGGCCGAUCAGCCUCUCAGCUCGGCUACCCAUCGUUGGCUAGGUGGGCCGUUACCCCGCCUACUACCUAAUGGGACGCGAACCCCUCCUUCUGCGGAUUGCUCCUUUGACCCCUGAGCCAUGCGACUCUGUGGUCUUAUGCGGUAUUAGCACUUGUUUCCAGGUGUUAUCCCCCUCAAAAGGGCAGGUUGUUCACGCGUUACUCACCCGUUCGCCACUAGCUAUAAAUCCGAAAACCUAUAGCCCGUUCGACUUGCAUGUGUUAGGCACGCCGCCAGCGUUCGUCCUGAGCACUGAUACAACUACUGA
rnacentral:rRNA from 1 species